GACGAACGCUGGCGGCGUGCUUAACACAUGCAAGUCGAGCGAGGCCCACCUUUCGGGGUGGUGUCCGGGCGGCGAACGGGUGAGUAACACGUGGGCAACCUGCCCUCAGCUCUGGGAUAACUCCAAGAAAUUGGGGCUAAUACCGGAUAUGACUGCUGACCGCAUGGUCUGGUGGUGGAAAGAUUUAUCGGCUGGGGAUGGGCCCGCGGCCUAUCAGCUUGUUGGUGGGGUAGUGGCCUACCAAGGCGACGACGGGUAGCCGGCCUGAGAGGUGACCGGCCACACUGGGACUGAGACACGGGCCCAGACUCCUACGGGAGGCAGCAGUGGGGAAUAUUGCACAAUGGGCGAAAGCCUGAUGCAGCGACGCCGCGUGAGGGAUGACGGCCU
rnacentral:rRNA from 1 species